CCUACGGGAGGCAGCAGUAGGGAAUAUUGCGCAAUGGACGGAAGUCUGACGCAGCGACGCCGCGUGAGCGAUGAAGGUCUUCGGAUCGUAAAGCUCUGUCCUUGGGGAAGAAGGCGAAAGCUUGACGGUACCCAAGAAGAAAGCCCCGGCUAACUACGUGCCAGCAGCCGCGGUAAUACGUAGGGGGCGAGCGUUGUCCGGAAUUACUGGGCGUAAAGGGUGCGUAGGCGGCCCUUUAAGUCGGAUGUGAAAGCCCGCGGCUUAACCGCGGAAUGGCAUUCGAAACUGGAGGGCUUGAGUGUCGGAGAGGGUAGUGGAAUUCCCAGUGUAGCGGUGAAAUGCGUAGAUAUUGGGAGGAACACCAGUGGCGAAGGCGACUACCUGGACGAUAAUUGACGCUGAGGCACGAAAGCUAGGGGAGCAAACAGGAUUAGAUACCCUGGUAGUCCUAGCCGUAAACGAUGGGUACUAGGUGUGGGUGGUUUCGAUACCAUCCGUGCCGUAGUUAACGCAUUAAGUACCCCGCCUGGGGAGUACGUGCGCAAGCAUGAAACUCAAAGGAAUUGACGG
rnacentral:rRNA from 1 species